rnacentral:rRNA from 1 species
UACGUAGGGGGCAAGCGUUGUCCGGAAUCAUUGGGCGUAAAGAGCGCGUAGGCGGCCCUGUAAGUCCGCUGUGAAAGUCAAGGGCUCAACCCUUGAAUGCCGGUGGAUACUGCAGGGCUAGAGUCCGGAAGAGGCGAGUGGAAUUCCUGGUGUAGCGGUGAAAUGCGCAGAUAUCAGGAGGAACACCAGCGGCGAAGGCGCCGCUCUGGGCCAUAACUGACGCUGAGGAGCGAAAGCAUGGGUAGCAAACAGG